rnacentral:rRNA from 1 species
GACGAAGGCUGGCGGCGUGCUUAACACAUGCAAGUCGAACGGAAAGGCCCUGCUUUUGUGGGGUGCUCGAGUGGCGAACGGGUGAGUAACACGUGAGUAACCUGCCCUUGACUUUGGGAUAACUUCAGGAAACUGGGGCUAAUACCGGAUAGGAGCUCCUGCUGCAUGGUGGGGGUUGGAAAGUUUCGGCGGUUGGGGAUGGACUCGCGGCUUAUCAGCUUGUUGGUGGGGUAGUGGCUUACCAAGGCUUUGACGGGUAGCCGGCCUGAGAGGGUGACCGGCCACAUUGGGACUGAGAUACGGCCCAGACUCCUACGGGAGGCAGCAGUGGGGAAUAUUGCACAAUGGGCGGAAGCCUGAUGCAGCAACGCCGCGUGCGGGAUGACGGCCUUCGGGUUGUAAACCGCUUUCGCCUGUGACGAAGCGUGAGUGACGGUAAUGGGUAAAGAAGCACCGGCUAACUACGUG